rnacentral:rRNA from 1 species
GAUGAACGCUCGGCGGGCGGUGCUUAACACAUGCAAGUCGAACGGAAAGGCCUUGCGUUGCGAAGGUAACGUCGAGUGGCGAACGGGUGAGUAACACGUGGGUUAUCUGCCUCAUACUUCGGGAUAAGCUUGGGAAACUGGGUCUAAUACCGGAUAUUCACGUAAGUGGAAAGCUUUUGCGGUACGGGAUGAGCUUGCGGCCUAUCAGCUUGUUGGUGGGGUAAUGGCCUACCAAGGCGUCGACGGGUAGCCGGCCUGAGAGGGUGUACGGCCACAUUGGGACUGAGAUACGGCCCAG